AGAGGCCCCAGUUAAUAAUACACGGCGUAAAGGGUGGUUAAGGAAAGCAUGGUAAUAAAGCCGAAUGGCCCUUUGGCUGUCAUACGCUUCUAGGUGUCCGAAGCCCAACAUACGAAAGUAACUUUAGUAAAACCCACCUGACCCCACGAAAGCUGAGAAACAAACUGGGAUUAGAUACCCCACUAUGCUCAGCCGUAAACCCAGACGUCCAGCUACAAUUAGACGUCCGCCCGGGUACUACGAGCAUUA
rnacentral:rRNA from 1 species